rnacentral:rRNA from 1 species
UACAGAGGUCUCAAGCGUUGUUCGGAUUCAUUGGGCGUAAAGGGUGCGUAGGUGGCGCCAUAAGUCAGGUGUGAAAUCUCGGGGCUUAACUCCGAAACUGCAUUUGAUACUGUGGUGCUUGAGGACUGGAGAGGAGACUGGAAUUCACGGUGUAGCAGUGAAAUGCGUAGAUAUCUGGAGGAACACCGGUGGCGAAGGCGACAUCCUGGACCAACACUGACGCUGAGUGAGCGAAAGCCAGGGGAGCAAACGGG